CAUCCUGGCAGGAGCAGAAAAGGCAGAGUGGAGAGGAUCCGGAGACAGGAAGCUGUGGCCUGCUCCCACCGGCACCUUCCUACCUGCACCUGGAAGAACUCCCCCAUCUCCAGCAGGAUCUUCCUGGCGCUGGCGUGCUCCUUCUCCCCAUCGAUGCCCGCCUACGGCGGAAAGGGGAGCGACAUGCCUGGCCGCCCGGAUGCAGGACGUCUGGACCGUCCCAACCUCUACCCGCUUAUGCCAGCGGGGCCUCCGGGUGAGGGCCAGCAGAGGCGGGUCAGCCCGAGGCCUGCGGACCCCAGGCAACACUCUUCUUCCUAACCCUUCACCAUUUACCACUUCUGCGCGAUGAAAAGGGAAAUGGAGAAGCGAGGUCUGCGCAGUUAGCCCAGGGUUCUCCACAUCACACCGUGUGACCUCCUCCCCACUCCCAUCCAGACUCGACGGGCUGACUGCUUUCACGUCCCUUGCCUUGGCUAAUGGUCAUAAAAAUCCUGGGGAGGGAACUUUAUCAUCUUACAGCUGAGAGCAGGCUCAGACAGCUUAAGUAACUUGGUCGAGGUCACACAGCCACGCAGUGGGGGCACGAGACUGCCCGAAGAUGUCUGCUUUGUGCCCUCUUGUCCAAAAGCCCCAUCGGGGGCAGCAAGGGUGGGGAGGCUCACUCACCAUGUACAUGGCGGCAGCCACAGGAAGAUAGAACGAGUAGAAAGCGGUCUUAUACUUGACGAUGGACUUGUACCUGGGCAGGGGAGAAGAUACACCGCUCAGAAGGGCAGUGCCCAGCACAGCCCUCCCGGGCCAUCCAGAUGCAGUUCCCACCAUCCCUCACCUCUUUUCAGUGAAUCUGCUGAGAUCCACAUUGCCCUGGGGGGCCGUGAUGAGGUCCAGCGUCUGUCCGAGCUCAGUCUGAUAGGAACUCUGAGGAGGAAGAUGGCCCAUAACCUUGCCUUUCUCCAGGGCUGGGAAACCCUGAAAUCCUGGGACCCACAUCCCAUGCCAUGGGCAGUCAGAGAGGCAGCAAGGACAGGGCCCUUGGGGUGCCCGGGUGGCACAGUUGGUUAAGCGUCUGACUCUUGAUCUCGGCUCAGGUCAUGAUCUCACGGUUCGAGCCCUGUAUCGGGCCCUGCGUGGUCAGUGGGGAGCCUGCUUGGGAUUCUCUCUCCCCCUCUCUCUGCCCCUCCCCCACCCAGUGGCUCACUCGCUCACUCUCUCAAAAUAAAUUAAAAAAAAAAAGAGGGAGAGGGCCCCAAGCCUCAUGGCCCAUACUGAGCCGAUCACGGAGACCAGGGAAGCCCUUCCUGCCACCACCCUGCCUGGCACCCUUCCCUGCUUUGUUCCCUUCCAGGCAGACCUAGCGCUCUCCCGCGCCCCAAGCGCAGCUAGAUGAAAGUGGCCCAGGGAGGCCAGGCCUGCAGCACACCUGUAGGAAGAGCUCAAUCAGGUUCAGGUAAUAGGGCUGCUCCCGGCAGUAGAGCCUCAGCACGCGGUAGAUACAUGCUUCCAGAAGCAACGCGUCAUUGAUGGCAUCCAGACCUAUGCCUGGCUGUCAGGGACGCAGAAGAAACAUGCGGUCAAUCUCUGGCCACUGUGGACACCUCGGCAGGCUCGAGGUCACCACCACCCCAGGCCCUUUGCCACGCCCACCGCUGGCUUCUCGCCCAGUAGUAUCGCACCUUCUGAUACCAGCAGACCUGCCCCCGCCGGGUGAGGGAUGAAUCCAUGAUGUCGUCCGACACCAGGAAGAAAGCCUGGAGCUACAGGAGAAGGAAGAGUGGGGUAAGACCCUCAGUCUCCUCGGAGGUGCUCCUUCUGCCGGUGACGGAGCGGCUGGGACAUCUGUGCUGUGCUGUGGGACUUCGGGAAAUCCUAGCACUUCGUUGGAUCUGGCGUUCCAGGUAUAACGUGGGGUCACAGCUCUCAUUUCCAGAGUGAGAGGCUCCCAACGGAUCUCAGACAUCCCCAAACACGCAGCCCUAGACGACCCCGGGGUCAGGGAGGUUAGAUCUUCACAGACUGUUCCCUGACCAAAAACUUCCUUGAAUGCUGAAAGGAAGAUUCCUUCAUGCAGUCUGACUUUACCUGACUUCUGGAAUAAAAGGCAGCUGUUCCCGUGUCGUCCCCGGGCACUCUGCUUACACACCCGUGUGCGGGACAAAGCCCCACCUCAGGGAGCUCAUCUAAGGGUGCAGGUCUAAUAGGGACAGAACCGAAGUCUGACCCCUGGUAACUUUCACCAUGGGUCUUAACCAUUUAACCACUCAAACAGCAGCCCAGGGCUUCUAAGUCCCAGCCUUCCUGAGGUCCCCAGGAUACACGAGUUUUCCCAGCGGGCUGUGAGGUCCUCAGAGGCAAGGCCAACAUCUGCCCCCCCCGGAGCUCCCAGAGGCUCAAACAGCCAGCCCCGGAGCCGAUGUGUAACAAAUGCAUGUGUAACAGAGAGCGAAACGCCGCCGCGUACCCCAAUACUUCUUGUAGUCAGGUUCCGAGACUUCGAACACGGCCUUCCAGAACACGGUUUAGAUCUUCACUCCGCCCUGAACUCUGUGCACCAGCGGCCCUGCCUCGCUCGGAGCCCCCAGCGCCACCCGUCGGCUCUGCCGUGCCCCAUACAGAAAGGACUAAGGUGGCCGCUGCUCUUUUCCCACGUGAAUCCUCAGGGAAGGAGGCGUCCAUCCACACCGCCAUGUCUGCCCUCACCCUGGGGCAGGCUCUGGGCCCCCAUAUCGGAGGCACGUGUCCUAUGUACAUAGUGUUUACUCUGAGUGACAUGCUUCCACUGAAGCCCCCGGUCCACUCUCUUCCACCUGGUUCCAACCGUUCCCACUCAACCCACACGGUUUCCAGGGGCGUUCGUUCUAUGGCUUCCCUCAGUCUCCUCCGUCCCACUGCAGUUCGGAACCCAACUGCACUUCCUGUUUUGUAGGGGACUUAAAAAAUACACACCAGUACCAGAGUCUCAACUAAAUGAGAAACCUAUCCACAGUAUUAGUCAGUUAUGCUGGAGGGACUAUUCUAAAGAUUAAAGAUUAAAGGGGCACCUGGGUGGCUCGGUCGGUUAAGCAUCCGACUUCGGCUCAGGUCAUGAUCUCGAGGUCCGUGAGUUCGAGCCCCGCGUUGGACUCUGUGCUGACCGCUCAGAGCCUGGAGCCUGUUUCAGAUUCUGUGUCUCCCUCUCUCUCUGACCCUCCCCCGUCCAUGCUCUGUCUCUCUCUGUUUCAAAAAUAAAUAAAUGUUAAAAAAAAAAAAUUAAAGAUUAAAGAUCGAAGAAGAACCCAUUACUCUUGACUGGAUCCUGAGUAUUUAAAAAAAAAACAACAACAACUUAGAAUGGACUUUUUGUGGACAAUGAGGAAAUUUAAC